GGAUUGCCUUAGUAGCGGCGAGUGAAGCGGCAAAAGCUCAAAUUUGAAAUCUGGCUCUUUCAGAGUCCGAGUUGUAAUUUGAAGAAGGUAUCUUUGGGUCUGGCUCUUGUCUAUGUUUCUUGGAACAGAACGUCACAGAGGGUGAGAAUCCCGUGCGAUGAGAUGAUCCAGGCCUAUGUAAAGUUCCUUCGAAGAGUCGAGUUGUUUGGGAAUGCAGCUCUAAGUGGGUGGUAAAUUCCAUCUAAAGCUAAAUAUUGGCGAGAGACCGAUAGCGAACAAGUACAGUGAUGGAAAGAUGAAAAGAACUUUGAAAAGAGAGUGAAAAAGUACGUGAAAUUGUUGAAAGGGAAGGGCUUGAGAUCAGACUUGGUAUUUUGUAUGUUACUUCUUCGGGGGUGGCCUCUACAGUUUAUCGGGCCAGCAUCAGUUUGGGCGGUAGGAGAAUUGCGUUGGAAUGUGGCACGGCUUCGGUUGUGUGUUAUAGCCUUCGUCGAUACUGCCAGCCUAGACUGAGGACUGCGGUUUAUACCUAGGAUGUUGGCAUAAUGAUCUUAAGUCGC
rnacentral:rRNA from 1 species